UAAGAUACAAAAGAGUGAGUGAUACCUAUACCAAUCAAAGAACGUGCGAUAGAAUUAUGAACAAAAAGCAUACCAUGAAUGAUAGCAGGAGUAGAGGGGACACUAGGCUUAUCCAGGUGGUAAACAUGUCCCUGAGCAGCUAAUCUGGUGAGGUCCUUGGGCCUUUUUGGGUAAUUAUUCACCAAAUGCUGUGUACUCGCAUACUUGUAACAGGAGUGGUUCAAACGUCGACAGGGUUGGUCACUAUGGUAGGGACCAUAAUAUCACAAGGGGGAGAAGUCCAAAUAGUAGGUGGUGGAACAACACGAGGUCUUUCAUCUGAGCAGUCAGGGCCAAGGUUAGGAAUUCUCCUCUUCUGCUGCUAUUGUUGCUAACUGUGGAAGUGGGUGAUGCGUUGGUU
rnacentral:lncRNA from 1 species